rnacentral:rRNA from 1 species
CGCGUAGGCGGGUCGCUAAGUUGGGGUGAAAGCCCAGGGCUCAACCCUGGAAUUGCCUUCAAUACUGGCGGCCUUGAGUAUGAGAGAGGUGUGUGGAACUCCGAGUGUAGAGGUGAAAUUCGUAGAUAUUCGGAAGAACACCAGUGGCGAAGGCGACACACUGGCUCAUUACUGACGCUGAGGCGCGAAAGCGUGGGGAGCAAACA